UGCGGGGUCGUCUAACGGUAGGACACCGCCCCUUGGAGGCGGCUAUCUUGGUCCGAAUCCAAGCCCCGCAA
rnacentral:tRNA from 1 species